CACUCCUCCGGGAGGCAGCAGUGGGGAAUUUUGGACAAUGGGCGAAAGCCUGAUCCAGCAAUGCCGCGUGAGUGAAGAAGGCCUUCGGGUUGUAAAGCUCUUUUGUCAGGGAAGAAACGGUGAAAGCUAAUAUCUUUUGCUAAUGACGGUACCUGAAGAAUAAGCACCGGCUAACUACGUGCCAGCAGCCGCGGUAAUACGUAGGGUGCAAGCGUUAAUCGGAAUUACUGGGCGUAAAGCGUGCGCAGGCGGUUUUGUAAGUCUGAUGUGAAAUCCCCGGGCUCAACCUGGGAAUUGCAUUGGAGACUGCAAGGCUAGAAUCUGGCAGAGGGGGGUAGAAUUCCACGUGUAGCAGUGAAAUGCGUAGAUAUGUGGAGGAACACCGAUGGCGAAGGCAGCCCCCUGGGUCAAGAUUGACGCUCAUGCACGAAAGCGUGGGGAGCAAACAGGAUUAGAUACCCUUGUAGUCCCA
rnacentral:rRNA from 1 species